CCGCCGCCGCGGGGCUGUUACAGGGCGCUGCCCGCCCCGCGGCCGGCGGCUGCCGCGGCCGGGGCUUAUGGGAUCCCAGAGUGGUUUUGGUUCGAAGGGAGUUUAAAUUCCGUCCCAUUCCAUCCCCUGCCACUGCAGGCACACCUUCCACUAUCCCAGGGUGCUCCAAGCCCCGUCCAGCCUGGCCUGGGACACUGCCAGGGAUCCAGGGGCAGACACAGCUGCCCCGUGACAGGGCCUCACCCUCACUCCCACAGCCAAGAAUUUCUUCCUAAUAUCCAACUAAAAUUUUCCCUUUCCCAGUUUAAAGCCAUUCCCUGUGUCCUGUCCCUCCAUCCCUUGUCCUCAGUCCCUCUCCAGCUCUCCUGGAGCCCCUUCAGGCCCUGCAAGGGGCUCUGAGCUCUCCCUGGAGCCUUCUCCAGAGGCUGGGAUACUUCCCGAGGGACUCGAGAGGAGAAGGAAAAGGAGGAGGAAGACGGGGAGGAUGUAGGACUGAUCUGGAUUGCAGCCUUGCAGCCACAUCGUGUAAUCCUUCUCAUGGGCUAAUCAGGCUGGUUUUCCUCCCCAGUGGAACACACACUUGCUUCACCCACGGUCACAGGUGAAGGGCCUGCAGUGGAGCCCUUCACUUCCCAUGGGCAGUUUUCCACCCCUGAGUCCAGUUCAGGGUGCUGAACCUCCUAAAGCUUCUUGGCAUCCCUUUGGCAGCUUUCAGUGCUGUUCAUGCUGCUUCACCUGCUCUGCUAUCAGAAUCCAGAAUAAGGAGGAUUUUGUGAGAUCCUGAAUGGCUUCUUGCUGCUGGAAUUGCCCUUUGGGGGAUAAUUGGGAUGGCAGCAGAUGUGGGCACGUGAUGACAUGUACAAAGAAUGCCUGGAAAAAAAUAAAGAGCAGAAAGAGAGAGAAGUCCUGGCAAGAUGGAUGGAGAGAACACAGCCAAGGGCAAGAGAAGGAGGAGACAUCCAGGCCUGUUGGAUGUUUGUUAUGUCCAGCUUGGGAAUUCACUUGCUCAAGGAAGCAUCAGCCUGCCAUAGACUGAGGAUCUCUCCAGGGGUUGUGCUGAGAUGCUGUGAGAAGAGAGAAAAGACACUAAAGGGAAAGAAAAGCCUUUUGUCCCUUGCAGGAGCAGGAGAAUUGAACAAGACACAGCUGAGCCCUGUGUGCAAGGAUUUGUUUUUCACGGAAGGAAGAGGGGCACUGUGGCUAUACAUUAUAUUUGUGUCACCCCGUUUACGUAGAUGCAUCUCAGGAGACUUUGCAGCUGAUUGUGCUCUUUGCAUUCAAAGGAAGGAAACCAGCUGGAUGCCCUUCCCUCCCACGAGCACACACAGAAGGGCAGAGGUGAGACCAGACAGCAACUGCUCAGCACAAGGAUGCAGGAAAAUGUGGCCAUUUCCAUGAAAAACAGCAUUAAAAAGGGAAAUUCAGAGCACUGCCUGGAAACCUGGCUGCUUCCCAUUUCCAGGUGCACCAACCUGGCUGGAACAUUUUGCAAGUAUCCUGCUGAAUCAUCCAGGCAGGUGGAUUUGGUUGGUUCUGCCAAGAGGAGCUGGAAGCCUUUUUCUGGCUGAGGUGUAUCUUCAGGGGGAAAUCCUAGAAACAAACUUGGCACGCACGGAUUUUGGCUUGGGCUCACUAAAGCCACGUUGCAAACAAAAAAGGAGGCUGGUGAGGAAGGAUGUUUUCAAUAGUGCCCAUCUGCCUGUCAGUGCAGGAGAGAGGGGACAAAUGAAAAACAGGAUCGGAAAUAGAUGGGAAGUUUGGCUUAGGAGAGAUCCUCUGCCUUGCUGACCUUUAAAUUGUGGAAUCAUGGAAUUACCCUGAGGAUCAUCAACUUCUGGCCCUGCACAGACACCCCAAAAAUCCCACCCUGUACCUGAGAGUUCUCCUGGAGCUCUGGCAGCCUUGGGAACAUGACCAUUCCCUGGGGAGCCCCACCACAUUCUGGGGAAAAAACCUUUUCCUAAUAAAGAGAAAUAAAAG